rnacentral:rRNA from 1 species
CCUACGGGGGGCAGCAGUGGGGAAUAUUGGGCAAUGGGCGAAAGCCUGACCCAGCCACGCCGCGUGAGUGAUGAAGGCCUUCGGGUCGUAAAGCUCUGUGGGGAGGGAAGAAAAGCUACGGGCUCAUACCCCGGAGUCUUGACGGUACCUCCUUAGCAAGCACCGGCUAACCACGUGCCAGCAGCCGCGGUAAUACGUGGGGUGCAAACGUUGCUCGGAAUUAUUGGGCGUAAAGCGCACGUAGGCGGCUUUUUAAGUCGGAUGUGAAAGCCCCA